GGCAGAUCUCUGUGAUGCUGGCUGGGUCCUGUGAACUGCCACUGCCUGGGCCAUGGCACAAGGGAAGGCAAAAGGGGGAAGCCAGGUGGUUGCUUUCUCUGCCUGAGAGCCCAGUCUGGGUUGUAUCCCCCAGAGAGCCAGGGAAGGUCAAGCUCCAGACCUUUGUCAUUGGGCACUCUUGUCAGUGUAAACAUUCCUGGCUGCUUGUCCCUCACCCCAUCCCAGUACCCGAUCUUGCACCCACGCACACUUCUGCUAUCCCCUCUGAAAUGGCAUAUGACAGCAAAGACUCAUAGGAAUGCCAUUUAAUGGUAAAAACCCUUAGAAAUAACGAGCCAACAUAACAUCAAGGACAA
rnacentral:lncRNA from 12 species